rfam:Gossypium arboreum cultivar AKA8401 contig_2928_1, whole genome shotgun sequence.
AGGACUAUAGCUCAUAUUGGUUAGAGCACCACGUUGACAUCGUGGUGGUAAGUGGUUCGAAUCCGCUUAGUCCUA